rnacentral:tRNA from 4 species
CGGGCAGUAGCGCAGCCUGGUAGCGCACCUGCUUCGGGAGCAGGGGGUCGGAGGUUCGAAUCCUCUCUGCCCGACCA